AAAGAAACCAACCGGGAUUGCCUCAGUAACGGCGAGUGAAGCGGCAAGAGCUCAAAUUUGAAAUCUGGCCCCUCCGGGGUCCGAGUUGUAAUUUGCAGAGGAUGCUUCGGGUGCGGCCCCUGUCUAAGUGCCCUGGAACGGGCCGUCAGAGAGGGUGAGAAUCCCGUCUUGGGCAGGGUGCCCGUGCCCGUGUGAAGCUCCUUCGACGAGUCGAGUUGUUUGGGAAUGCAGCUCAAAAUGGGUGGUAAAUUUCAUCUAAAGCUAAAUACCGGCCGGAGACCGAUAGCGCACAAGUAGAGUGAUCGAAAGAUGAAAAGCACUUUGAAAAGAGAGUUAAACAGCACGUGAAAUUGUUGAAAGGGAAGCGCUUGCAACCAGACUCGGCCUCGGGGUUCAGCCAGCAUUCGUGCUGGUGUACUUCCCCGGGGCCGGGCCAGCGUCGGUUUGGGCGGCCGGUCAAAGGCCCCAGGAAUGUAUCGUCCUCCGGGACGUCUUAUAGCCUGGGGUGCAAUGCGGCCAGCCUGGACCGAGGAACGCGCUUCGGCACGGACGCUGGCGUAAUGGUCGCAAACGACCCGUCUUGAAACACGGACCAAGGAGUCUAACAUCUACGCGAGUGUUCGGGUGUCAAACCCGUACGCGCAGUGAAAGCGAACGGAGGUGGGAGCCCCCCCGGGGCGCACCAUCGACCGAUCCUGAUGUCUUCGGAUGGAUUUGAGUACGAGCGUAGCUGUGGGGACCCGAAAGAUGGUGAACUAUGCCUGAAUAGGGUGAAGCCAGAGGAAACUCUGGUGGAGGCUCGCAGCGGUUCUGACGUGCAAAUCGAUCGUCAAAUUUGGGUAUAGGGGCGAAAGACUAAUCGAACCAUCUAGUA
rnacentral:rRNA from 1 species